CCGCGGUAAUUUGCCCGUGCGAAGGUAGCAUAAUCAGUAGUCUUUUAAUUGAAGGCUUAAGUGAACGGUUGGAUGAGGGAAAASCUGUCUUUUUUGCAAAUUAGAAUUUGACUUUUAAGUGAAAAGGCUUAAAUUAAAUGGGGGGACGAUAAGACCCUAUAAAACUUGAUAAAAAGUUUAUUUUAACUUUAAAUUAUAUUUAAAAAUUGUGAAGUUUUCUUUUUAUUUUGUUGGGGCGACAUUGAUAUAAAUUGUAACUGUUUUAGCAAAAAGUAUAAUUAUCAUUAUAGUUUGAUCCUUCUUUGGGGAUAAAAAGAAUAAGUUACUUUAGGGAUAACAGCGUGAUUUUUUCUGAGAGUUCUUAUCGAAGAAAGUAGUUGCGACCUCGAUGUUGAAUUAAAAUUUCAAGCAGGUGUAGCCGUUUGCUUUGUAGGUCUGUUCGACCUUUAAAAUUUUUCAUGAUUUGAGUUCAAACCGGUGUGAGCCAGGUUGGUUUCUAUCUA
rnacentral:rRNA from 1 species